rnacentral:lncRNA from 1 species
CACUCAAAAGGUAAGUUCCCGCGAAACUCCCUUUUAUCUUCUAUUAAAACAAGAAAACUCAAAAAAAUAGAUCGUGUAGCAUUCUCGAGCUUUAUCCCCAGCCAAUCAGCAUUAGGGUUUUAAACCUUAAACUGAACUUUUCCCUUUCAGCCAGCAUUAGAGUUUUAAACUCUAAACUGAGCUUUUCCAUGCAAUCAGCAUUAGGGUUUUAAACCCUAAACUGAAUUUUCCUGUUAGUCAGCAUUAGGGUUUUAAACCCUAAACUGAACUUUUUCCUUUCAGCCAGCAUUAGAGUUUUAAACUCUAAACUGAGCUUUUCCAUGCAAUCAGCAUUAGGGUUUUAAACCCUAAACUGAAUUUUCCUUUUAGUCAGCAUUAGGGUUUUAAACCCUAAACUGAACCUUUUUCCUUUCAGCCAGCAUUAGAGUUUUAAACUCUAAACUGAGCUUUUCCAUGCAAUCAGCAUUAAGGUUUUAAACCCUAAACUGAAUUUUCCUUUUAGUCAGCAUUAGGGUUUUAAACCCUAAACUGAACUUUUUCCUUUUCAGCCAGCAUUAGAGUUUUAAACUCUAAACUGAGCUUUUUCAUGCAAUCAGCAUUAGGGUUUUAAACCCUAAACUGAACUUUUCCCUUUCAGCCAGCAUUAGAGUUUUAAACUCUAAACUGAGCUUUCCCAUGCAAUCAGCAUUAGGGUUUUAAAUCCUAAACUGAAUUUUCCUUUUAGUCAGCAUUA